CCAUUUAUUGGAUUUUCACAGUAGCCAUUUUUAUUGCUGAAAGCAUGUGCACUACUAAUGGACUGUCACCAUUUGUGACAUGAAAAGUUUAUAUGAAAAAAACUUGUGAAAUUUGGCUGUGAAAGAAUUGUCUUCUCAUAUUCUAGUCUCUCAUAUAAUUACUUAAAAGAAUCUAAUUCAAUUGCAAUGAAAUCUGGAAUUACCUUAGGAAAAAAUGAGAUACUUUUAGUGUUAUGCUUUAAAUUUUACUCUUUUUUAAUUUUAAAAGGGAAAGGUCUUCAUAGGUUUAUAAAUUAUUACUUAUAAAAUUACCUUCAAACUACUUCCUAAACUUUUAAACCAUACUAAAGGAAAAUAAAGUUUAUGAAGUGAGUUUUGUUAGUCUUAUUACCCAAAUAAACUUUCAUAUAUACAUAUUCAUUAAAUGAAUAGUAUUAGUGUUUUAACUUAAAUAUAUGUAUGUUUUUUUAAAAAGUUACCUAGGAUAAUUUGUCAGUCCUGUGUGUAAUGGUUCAGUAAAGUCUAAUUAGAAUCUUAGUUUACUCUUUCUCUAAUUAGAAUUUUAGUUUACUGGUAAAAAUG
rnacentral:lncRNA from 1 species